CCUUGUCGUUGGUGGGGGAGCUCCCAGUCCGGUGCCUUUGGCACUUUCGCUGGGUCCAAGGAGCAUCUCACCGUCUUGUCCUUAUUAGCUUGCGUGUCGCCGCGUGUCGUGGCCAUGCACUAAGACGUAUUAUAACCAGGCGUCCUCUGUCUGUGCCAGGACCAAGGAGGAGACCUCACCAAAAACCUAAAUCCCACGAUGGUGGGACCAGGUCAAAGGGGUACGUGGCUAGAUAGUAGACUAGCCAUUACUGGUCUCAACCUUGGUACAGCUGGGGACACAAUUGUAAUUACUCCUUACUACUACACGAGGGCCUGUAGAAGUGGACCUACUAACACUAGCGACUCUUGGAAACACACUAUGGGCUCAAGAAAGAAAAACACCAUUGGUGGAGCUAGAGGGAAACCUCUUGGCAACACUGGGAAAAUUAUUAAAGCGUGUACCAAGGGACCAAUCCCAAAGGGAACUACAGGACUGACAUUUGCGCGAGACCAGCCUCCACAAGUGGCAAAUACAAGCUACAACUUCCUCUAGUAAGGGUCUUGAAACAUCUCCAGAGCAAUAUAACUUUCUUGGGAUCCAAAGUAAACCUGCAUCACGCAAAAGGGUCUUCCGCCACAAUCACAAGACUCUGGGAAGAAUCAAUAUGCAAUGGAACUAGUCCAGGAACAAUGGAUGUAUCAGGGACAAAUUAAAGGUUUAUCUGGAAAAAAUUCAAUGAAUUUACAACCCGAGAAUUUGUUAGCCUGCGGAGGUACAGGAGCUCGUGCUAUAUUGCAGUCAACGUCGAGUACUUGUGUUACUGAGAUGUGAUUCCAAUACACACAAUGGGGUAUGGGGAAGCACUAACACUAACACCACAGG